CUUACUCAUGUCCAGUCAUUAUGAUUGGAGACGGGGAGGAGGGAGGGCGAGGUGCAAGUGGAGGUGGCGGGUGGUGCUUGGCUUCACGAAGUGGGUUGGGUGGGGAGGAAGGAAGUGAUGGAAUGAGUCAGCGUGGAUUGCCAUGUUGCCAUCAAAGAUACAAAAGGCUGGUUAGGCACACCUCGCUGAUAUUACCAGUGUGUGCAUGGUCAUCCGUCACGGCUCCAUACAAUGACUGGUUACCCCUGUUAAGUGUCGUACAAAGCACCACUUAAAAUGGUUCAGACGCUGCCUCAUCGCUGCGUCAAGAUGGGGGAGGGCGGGGCGGUAUCACAACAUCCUUGUUUGCUUCGCUUGUUUCUUCCUAAAGCUUUCCUCACUAAUUAGGAUGAAAGUAAAUAUAAGACAUAAUAAGAAAUGUCUCGUGGUAGUGGGAAAUUAGCACACCACCAUAAAGUGGAAAAGAUGAUGUGUUGAGUGCGCGAAGCACGUGAAGCAGGUGUGAAACAGGGAUGAACCAGUGAGAUGUGUCCUUCCUUAUUACCUUUACUGUCUUAUUCUUUUCAUGCUCUUGCUUAUGAGUCCAUUGCUGAAUCCUGACCUGGUGAUUCACUAAACUAGAUGGAAACAGAAUAAUUUUCAAUGAGGUAAGACAAUAUAACAGUGACCUAACGAUAAAUGUCUAGAAAAUCUAGUAACACUGGUUAGAGAAAGCUCCUUCAAGUUAUGAGCAUCCAGGGCUCAGUCACCACUUCUGUUCAGUGAGGGAAGCGUCGAGGCCGUCCUCAGAAUCACUUACUUAGGCUGUACAUCUCCUUGCAAAAUUCAGAUCCUAAGAUGCCCAGCUGCUCCUCCACAAGGAUGGCCACACCAGAAUUUCUCGACACAAUUUGAACAUGGAUAGGCACAUCAGUGGAGGCCAUGAGGAAGAUAUUAUACAAUGAUGUCAAUCUUCACAUCACCACACAGAUGUCUGUUUCAUCCGAUUCCUGCCUCUAUGCACCCUCAGGUAGUCUGUUUCAUCUGGUUCCUGCAAUGUUUCAUCUGGUUCCUGCCAUCUAUGUACAGUAAGGUAGUGAGUUUAAUCCAGUUCCUGGCAGCUACUUAUACUUUUCAUCCUUUUUGAUCAGACCUGAGAGCUUAUGAGAGAGAGAGAGAGAGAGAGAGAGA